CCUACGGGGGGCAGCAGUGAGGAAUAUUGGUCAAUGGGCGUAAGCCUGAACCAGCCAAGUCGCGUGAGGGAUGAAGGUUCUAUGGAUCGUAAACCUCUUUUAUCAGGGAAUAAAGUUUGGGAAGUGUCCUGUUUUGUAUGUACCUUAUGAAUAAGGAUCGGCUAACUCCGUGCCAGCAGCCGCGGUAAUACGGAGGAUCCGAGCGUUAUCCGGAUUUAUUGGGUUUAAAGGGUGCGUAGGCGGCCUUUUAAGUCAGCGGUGAAAGUCUGUGGCUCAACCAUAGAAUUGCCGUUGAAACUGGGAGGCUUGAGUAUGUUUGAGGCAGGCGGAAUGCGUGGUGUAGCGGUGAAAUGCUUAGAUAUCACGCAGAACCCCGAUUGCGAAGGCAGCCUGCCAAGCCAUGACUGACGCUGAUGCACGAAAGCGUGGGGAUCAAACAGGAUUAGAUACCCGUGUAGUC
rnacentral:rRNA from 1 species